rnacentral:rRNA from 1 species
UACAGAGGAGGCUAGCGUUGCUCGGAAUUACUGGGCGUAAAGGGCGCGUAGGCGGCACUGUUAGUCAGGCGUGAAAGUCCUGGGCUCAACCUGGGAACUGCGCUUGAUACGGCAGAGCUAGAGGAUGGAAGAGGCUCGCGGAAUUCCCAGUGUAGAGGUGAAAUUCGUAGAUAUUGGGAAGAACACCGGUGGCGAAGGCGGCGAGCUGGUCCAUUACUGACGCUGAGGCGCGACAGCGUGGGGAGCAAACAGG